AAUUGCCUUUCCCUAUAAAUCUCUUCCUUCCUUCCUUGGACACCUUGGAGAACUAAUACCACCAUCCUCUUUACAAUCUCUUUAAACUGUGCCACCUAUUGUACUCAAUAGACCCACUACAUUUGUCUAAUUUGCCAUUGGAUGCCGAGUAUGGAAAUAGAUGGUUUGGUCUUGCUAAAUUGUGAAUGAGUCACUAAAGAAGACCAAGUCUGGGACAUAAAUGUUGAAGUAAUGAGUGAAAUCCAGGAUCAAGUUUGUGAUAGUGGAUUGAAGCCCCAGUUUGGUGUAAUUGGAUAUGCAGCACCAAUUUUGUGUCUUCGUGUAAUUUCGGGUCUUUUGUGGAGGAAGAGAAUGGCCUCAUUGUCUCUAAACAAUAGAUUAUUAAGUCAGUGUCUAGCUCAACUUUUUGCUUUUCAUUAUUUUUUCAUUUUUGCUAUAAAGCAAAAGCAAU
rnacentral:misc_RNA from 1 species